rnacentral:rRNA from 1 species
CAGUGGAGCGACGAACCAGGGGCUUGCCCCUGGGGCAGAGCCGCGAACGGGUGAGUAACACGUGGGCAACCUGCCCCGAUGACUGGGACAACCCGAGGAAACUCGGGCUAAUACCGGAUGUGCUCCCGCCACACCAGUGGCGUGAGGAAGGGAAGCUUCGGCCUCCGCAUCGGGAUGGGCCCGCGGCCCAUUAGCUUGUUGGUGGGGUAACGGCCUACCAAGGCGACGAUGGGUAGCUGGUCUGAGAGGACGAUCAGCCACGCUGGGACUGAGACACGGCCCAGACUCCUACGGGAGGCAGCAGUGGGGAAUCUUGCGCAAUGCGCGAAAGCGUGACGCAGCAACGCCGCGUGGGGGAAGACGGCCUUCGGGUUGUAAACCCCUUUCAGUUGGGACGAAGUCCGGUCGGUGAACAGCCGCGCCGGGUGACGGUACCUUCAGAAGAAGCCCCGGCCAACUACGUGCCAGCAGCCGCGGUAAUACGUAUGGGGCAAGCGUUGUCCGGAAUCAUUGGGCGUAAAGCGCGUGUAGGCGGCUCGGUAAGUCCGCUCUGAAAGCCCGGGGCUCAACCCCGGGAGGCGGGCGGAUACUGCCGAGCUCGAGUCCGGAAGAGGCGAGUGGAAAUUCCUGGUGUAGCGGUGAAAUGCGCAGAUAUCAGAGGAACACCAAUGGCGAAAGGCAGCUCGCUGGGACGGUACUGACGCUGAGACGCGAAAGCG